AUGCACAAAUUGGGAAUUGGCAUCCUGAUUCGGAACCACAAAGGUGAAUGCUUGGUCGCCUGCACCUAGCCACUUAAAGGGAUGGUACAGCCAGAACUUGCUGAAAGCUGGGCGCUCCGUCAAGCUGUGAUUCUCGCCCGUGAUGAGGGACUGACCUCUGCCAUUUUCGCUUCUGAUUGCCUCUCCUUAGUACAACGAGUGAACUCUUCAUCCAUAGACAGGUCUGAAGUGGGUGUAGUAGUGUCAGAUAUUAAGCGUUUGGUUGCUUGUUUUUCUUCUGUUUCCUUCUGCCAUGUCAAGAGGUCGUUGAAUGCUGCUGCUCACAUACUAGCUAGGGCCUGUGAGUUUGCUAGUUCAAAAGUUGUGUACUAUUCUACUCCAGAAUGUAUCAGGCAAACUCUAUGUAAUGAUGUAUACUAA
rnacentral:rRNA from 1 species